rnacentral:rRNA from 1 species
AUUGAACGUUGGCGGCACGCCUAAUACAUGCAAGUCGAACGAGAAAGCACUUCGGUGUGAGUACAGUGGCGGACGGGUGAGUAACGCGUAGGAAUCUACCUAGUAGGUGGGGGACAACUCGAGGAAACUCAAGCUAAUACCGCAUACGCUCUUAGGAGGAAAGUGGGGGGAUCUUCGGACCUCACGCUAUUAGAGGAGCCUGCGCUAGAUUAGCUUGUUGGUGAGGUAAAGGCUCACCAAGGCGACGAUCUAUAGCUGGUCCGAGAGGACGAUCAGCCACACUGGAACUGAGACACGGUCCAG